rfam:Pteropus alecto contig60597, whole genome shotgun sequence.
GUCUACGGCCAUGCCACCCUGAAUAAGCCUGAUGUCUGAUCAUGGAAGCUAAGCAGGGUUGGGCCUGGUUAGUACUUGGAUGGGAGACCACCUAGGAAGACCAGGUGCUGUAGGCA